rnacentral:lncRNA from 13 species
NNNNNNNNNNNNNNNNNNUUUCUAACCUGGAUAACACUCGCCAGUCCAGCUUCCCUGCCCCAUCCACCGCUGCCCCUUGGACACUGAUCACUUGGCUACAUAGCUGAUGCAGGCUGGACUGUCCAUUAAUUCACGGUAAUCCAUUCUGCUUGUUUAUGUUUUAUCUGUCGGCCCCAGCCGCACUUAGGCUCUGUGUGUAGUUAAUCCGACCCUCUCUGCCUAAUCUAUCGCCAUUCUACCUGCUGUUGUUGUGCUAGCUGAUUAGCUGUUGUUGUCUCACCUACUGUUUUAGCUAGCUCUCCCAAUUCAACACCUGUGAUUACUGUAUGCCUUGCUGUAUGUCUCUCUCAAAUGUCAAUAUGCCUUGUAUACUGUUGUGCAGGUUAGUUAUCAUUGUUUUAGUUUACAAUGGAGCCCCUAGUUCCACUCUUUAUACCCCUGAUACCUCCUUUGUCCCACCACCCACACAUGCGGUGACCUCACCCAUUACAACCAGCAUGUCCAGAGAUACAACCUCUCUCAUCAUCACCCAGUGCCUGGGCUUACCUCCGCUGUACCCGCACCUCACCAUACCCCUGUUUGCGCAUUAUGCCCUGAAUAUAUUCUACCAUGCCCAGAAACCUGCUCCUCUUAUUCUCUGUCCCCAACGCCCUAGGCGACCAGUUUUGAUAGCCUUCAGCCGCACCCUCAUACUACUCCUUCUCUGUUCCGCGGGUGAUGUGGAGGUAAACCCAGGCCCUGCAUGUCCCCAGGCACCCUCAUUUGUUGACUUCUGUGAUCGAAAAAGCCCUGGUUUCAUGCAUGUCAACAUCAGAAGCCUCCUCCCUAAGUGUGUCUUACUCACUGCUCUAGCACACUCUGCUAACCCUGAUGUCCUUGCCGUGUCUGAAUCCUGGCUCAGGAAGGCCACCAAAAAUUCUGAGAUUUCCAUACCCAACUAUAACAUCUUCCGUCAAGAUAGAACUGCCAAAGGGGGAGGAGUUGCAGUCUACUGCAGAGAUAGCCUGCAAAGUAAUGUCAUACUCUCCAGGUCCAUACCCAAACAGUUCGAACUACUAAUUUUGAAAAUUACUCUCUCCAGAAAUAAGUCUCUCACUGUUGCCGCCUGCUACCGACCCCCCUCAGCUCCCAGCUGUGCCCUGGACACCAUUUGUGAAUUGAUCGCCCCCCAUCUAGCUUCAGAGUUUGUUCUGUUAGGUGACCUAAACUGGGAUAUGCUUAACACCCCGGCAGUCCUACAAUC